CCUACGGGAGGCUGCAGUGGGGAAUAUUGCGCAAUGGGCGAAAGCCUGACGCAGCGACGCCUCGUGAGGGAUGAAGGUCUUCGGAUCGUAAACCUCUGUCAAGGGGGAAGAAACCUCUGGAUUCGAACAGGGUCUAGAGCUGACGGUACCUCUAAAGGAAGCACCGGCUAACUCCGUGCCAGCAGCCGCGGUAAUACGGAGGGUGCAAGCGUUAAUCGGAAUCACUGGGCGUGUAGCGCUCGUAGGCUGUGAAAUCCCGCGGCUUAACCGCGGAACUGCGUUUGAUACUGUCAGACUUGAGUGUCGGAGAGGGUGGCGGAAUUCCGGGUGUAGGAGUGAAAUCCGUAGAUAUCCGGAGGAACACCAGUGGCGAAGGCGGCCACCUGGACGACAACUGACGCUGAGGAGCGAAAGCGUGGGUAGCAAACAGGAUUAGAUACCCUGGUAGUC
rnacentral:rRNA from 1 species